GUGAAUAAGGGGAGGGCAAGUCUGGUGUCAGCCGCCGCGGUAAUACCAGCUCCCCGAGUGGUUGGGACGAUUAUUGGGUCUGAAGCGUCCGUAGCCGGCCGAAAAAGUUCCCCGUUAAAUCUGGCGAUCCAAUCGUUGGGCUGCGGGGAAUACUCUUCGGCUUGGGGGCGAGGGAGGUCGGCGGUAGUCCCGGGGUAGGGGCGAAAUCCUAUAAUCCCGGGAGGACCACCAGUGGCGAAGGCGGCCGACUAAAGCGCGCCCGACGGUGAGGGACGAAAGCUGGGGGAGCGAACGGGAUUAGAUACCCCGGUAGUCCCAGCUGUAAACGAUGCAGGCUAGGUGUUGGGACGGCUACGAGCUGUUCCAGUGCCGCAGGGAAGCCAUUAAGCCUGCCACCUGGGAAGUACGGCCGCAAGGCUGAAUUUCUUGAGAGAUUCGAAAAUCGAUUUUCUCGGAACAGUUCACUUAAAGGAAUUGGCGGGGGAGCACCACAAGGGGUGAAGCUUGCGGUUUAAUUGGAGUCAACACCGGGAACCUUACCAAGGGCGACAGUUGGAUGAAGGUCAGAUUAAAGGUCUUACCGGACUAGCUGAGAGGAGGUGCAUGGCCGUCGCCAGUUCGUGCCGUGAGGUGUUCUCUUAAGUGAGACAACGAACGAGACCCGCGCCUCUAGUUGCUACCGGUUUCCUUCGGGAUUCCGAGCACACUAAAGGGACUGCCCUCGCUAAGAGGGAGGAAGGAGCGGGCCACGGCAGGUCAGUAUGCCCCGAAUCCUUUGGGCCACACGCGAGCUGCAAUGGAUGGUACAAUGGGGUCCGACCUCGAAAGGGGAAGGCAAUCUUCAAACCCAUCCUCAGUUGGGAUCGAGGGCUGCAACCCGCCCUCGUGAACAUGGAAUCCCUAGUAACCGCGUGUCAUCAUCGCGCGGUGAAUACGUCCCUGCUCCUUGCACACACCGCCCGUCGCUCCAUCCGAGUUUUGCUUUGGUGAGGCGUGGCCAGGUUGGUCAUGUCGAGCCUCGGUUAGACAAGGAGGGAG
rnacentral:rRNA from 1 species